CCACCCCAGGUGUAGAUCAGGUCUCUCCACCCCAGGUGUAGAUCAGGUCUCUCCACCCCAGGUGUAGAUCAGGUCUCUCCACCCCAGGUGUAGAUCAGGUCUCUCCACCCCAGGUGUAGAUCAGGUCUCUCCACCCCAGGUGUAGAUCAGGUCUCUCCACCCCAGGUGUAGAUCAGGUCUCUACCCCCCAGGUGUAGAUCAGGUCUCCGCCCCAGGUGUAGAUCAGGUCUCUACCCCAGGUGUAGAUCAGGUCUCCACCCCAGGUGAAUGCCAGGUCAGAGACGACGAACAGGUAACCGUUGAGCUCCCUCUGCCCGGCAGGGUGGACUGAAGACAACCUCUGUGAAGCAGGAGAAGGCUAGGGCGAACUUGGGGAAGGUGAGGGCGCGGGAGAGGGAGGAGCCAAGGCAGGAAGCGGUCUCUUGGUAGGUCACGGCACGGAGCAGGGGGUAGCAGGGCUGGUCCACCUCUGACCCGGAGAGGAUGAGGGAGCGGAGGCAGUGGCCAGGGUGUAGGUGGGGAGGUAAGAGGGGAGAGGAGGGGAGAGGAAGGAAGGUGGGGAUGUAAGAGGGGUAGAGAGGAGGGGAGCGGAAGGAAGGUGGGGAUGUAAGAGGGGUAGAGAGGAGGGGAGCGGAAGGAAGGUGGGGAGGUAAGAGGGGGAGAGAGGAGGGGAGAGGAAGGAAGGUGGGGAGGUAAGAGGGGGAGAGAGGAGGGGAGCGGAAGGAAGGUGGGGAUGUAAGAGGGGGAGAGAGGAGGGGAGCGGAAGGAAGGUGGGGAGGUAAGAGGGGGAGAGGAGGGGAGAGGAAGGAAGGUGGGGAUGUAAGAGGGGGAGAGAGGAGGGGAGCGGAAGGAAGGUGGGGAGGUAAGAGGGGGAGAGAGGAGGGGAGAGGAAGGAAGGUGGGGAUGUAAGAGGGGGAGAGAGGAGGGGAGCGGAAGGAAGGUGGGGAUGUAAGAGGGGGAGAGAGGAGGGGAGCGGAAGGAAGGUGGGGAUGUAAGAGGGGG